GCUCGUUUCGGCAACACGUGCUAAAAUUGGAUGAUCCAGAGAAGAUUAGCAUGGCCUUUGUACAAGGAUGACACACAAAUUAGUGAAGCAUUCCAUAUAAAA